rnacentral:rRNA from 1 species
GAUGAACGCUGGCGGCGUGCCUAACACAUGCAAGUCGAACGAACAUACCGGGAGCUUGUUCUUCUGUCGUUAGCUGCGGACGUGUGAGUCACACGUGGAUAAAAUACCUAUAAGACUGGCAUAACUUCGGGAAACCGCAGCUUAUACCGGAUAAUAUAUUCAACCGCAUGGUUUAAUACUGAUAAUCGGUUUUGCUGUUGCUUAUCCAUGUAUCCGCGCCGCCUUAGUUAGUUGGUCAGGUAACCACUUUCCAAGGCAACGAGGCGUAGCCUACCUAACAGGGUGGUCGGCCACACUGGAAGUGAGGCCCGGUCCAGACUCCUGCGGUAGGCCGCAGUAGGAAAUCUUCCGCAAAGGGCGAGAGGCUGGCGGAGCAACGCGGAGUGAGUGAUGAAGGACUUCGGAUCGUAAAACUCUGUUAUUAGGGAGGAACAAAUGUGUAAGUAACUGUGCAGGUCUUGACGGUACCUAAUCAAAAAGCCACGGCUAACUACGUG